GAAUAGAUAAGUUUAAAAAAGAAAGAAAGAAAUUAGACACUAAGUAAGCCAUAAGGAUCAAGCUGAGUUUCCUGAGCCCCGAUGGGAGGAUUUAAUGAAUUCAUCAAGGGUCACAGGAAACCGGUGGAUCUGGAUCUGGCAAAGAGG